rnacentral:sRNA from 1 species
UGAGCUGCAUAACAAUGGAGGAUGCCUGGCUCUCCUGCCUGACCGACUGCCACGUCGGGCCUGCCUUUGCGGGCCCACCUGGCAGUUUCCCGGGCCGAUAAAACGUGGGCCCUGGGCCGGCGGACCCCCACCCGAUCAGAGGGCGGCCUCGAAGUUGAGGCGCGAGGUGUAGGUGGCCGUGGGCUUCCAGUUCCUGGGGAUGACGUCCCGGGCCGUGAGCGCCUUCUGGGCCGACAGCGUCGUCAACCUCACCGAGAAGGGCCCGACAAGCGGGCCCCGCACGAGGCACCACGUGGCCCCCCACACAUGCUUCAUGUCCAGCCACUCCACUGAGUUCGCCUGCACCCCGCCAUGUGAAAGGCAGCACAAACAGAUUAGAAACAGAUCAACAAUGAGCAACUAGGAUACCCGAUACCCUUCAGGAAAAGAAAAAGGAAUAAGCAUUAAGUAAGUAGCAGUAACCUUACUACAUUCAGAAUAGAUUAUCACAGAAACGUACAGUUUCAGGUUAAGCAGAGCAGCCUGAAACCUUUACAGCAAAGCAAGCCAUAGCGCUCAACGCUGGCAUGCAUCGUCGUCUGGGAUUCCGAAUCUUUGGAUGCCACUAGGCUACCAAGCCCACAACACAGAGUCUUCAUCACAAGCGUGCCUCAGUUUGCAGGGUGGGGGUGUCAGGGUUUAACAACCGUGAAAAGCAUUAGCAAGUGCAAAAGCAAGGGCACCAUGCAGUGUGGCUGGUAAAAACUGUCGACGGAGACCAACGCAAGUGCAUCAGUGCAUGCUCUAUCUUCUUUGCUGUUGUUAAGGAGAGGGGGAGACCGAGCUAAAGCGGCAAAAUCAUUGACGGCUCUUUGGUGAAAGGAUGGCUAGGGUUCAUGUGCUUUGCCAUUGCAUUGGGGUUGUAGACUGAAUGAGUUGCUGCUCUACAGAUCUAGUGCACAAAGCCGGAAUUUUUUUUUAUGCACACAUUCCAGAUAGGAAUCAUUUGACAAAGAGAAUCAUGCUUUUAUGCAAAGGUUUGACUAUGUCUGGAGUCUGGUAGCUAAGCGAGGAAGUGAAAGAAAGCAGGAUGCUUUCUUGACCAUGUGUGCCGUACUUACUAUCCUGUCUCGCAAGUGCUCCCUUCUUUUGUGUAAACUUGUAUUGGAACAAAGGACUAAAUCCUGACAAGGCAUCUGAGGCAUUAAUUAGUUGGAAACCGUUGGUUUCACUUCUCCUAAGAUGCUGGUUUUGGUUAGGAAUAUGUGAUCCUGUAACUUGUGGAAAAUGUGAUUCUAGAACUUCAGGUUGAUCUAGAAAGGACAGCAGAGAGACCCAAGUAUCCAACAGUAUUAUGCUAGUCAUUCAGUGAACACUGAACAGAGGCCUGAAGGGUAAAAGCAGCAAGGAAUUAGGCAGUACACAUGUCUCCAACCACAUCGGCCCACUAGAGCAAAGAGGGUGAGGAACUUGUCACAUGCUGCACACAUGUUUGCAAAGGGAAGAAGCUGUGGUCCAAUUGCAUCCAGCAAUGGAUUUGUCCCAGGCAGCACUGAGCAUGUUUCCCAGCACUAUGGGCAAUUAAAAGCAAAAGAUGACCCCAUUUUCCAUUUCUACCAGCUAAAAG